rnacentral:lncRNA from 1 species
GAUGUCCCAGGUUUGGGAAAAACGCAGAGCGCUGGCUUUUCCCGUUUAAAGGAGGUUAAUGUCAGACCCAAACAGCUUUGAUGAUGCGUUCACUGACGGCGAGCGGCAGCAGCUCCUCCUCCCUCCACAGGUUCUGACAAAAGUCUGUCCGGCUGUUUCGUUUUCUGUCCGGACGUCUGUGGAAAGAAAACUGUCUGACACUCUGCAUGAUCUCCAUCCUGGUUCUGGCUCAGAACAAAGCAGAAUUAUCUAAUCAGGACAAUUCUUGGGAAUAGUGGUUUGAAUGUUUCUGUCAGGAUUUCUGUGAGGAUGGUAGAGAAUUUAGAGACUUUUUUUCUCCCUAUACCUGCCUUGAAGAUUUCUUACCUGAAAUGGAGGCUGCAGCUCCGUCUCCAUGGCAACCAUGCAGCCUGCCUGCAACAGGUCCAGUUUAUCUGUAAAAAACAGCCUAAACCUCGAUGUUGGUGAGAGUUACUGGAUGCUAUUUUAGGUCAUGAAUGCAUCCCCUCGAUGAAAGGAUGGACAGUGGAAGAGAUCCCUGUCCUGUUGUUGUUUUUGACUGUAGUUUAUUUUUUUGGCGGUCAGACGUUUCCGCAGACAAAUGUUUGUGUUUUUAAUUCAAACUAUUGUUUUCCUGAACCAAUACUCUUAAUUUAUUUGAAUAUGUGGAGGUGCACAGUUCCUGUGAGCCUUUACUGUGAUCCAGAUCAGGAGGUUUUAGUAUUUUAAGCUGGAAAAGAGUCAGGAGGGUUUGAAAGCUCCAUCUUUGACGUGGAUAUCCACCUGAUCCUGACGUGAUGCUGGAGUUUGUCUAACUUUGAUGGGAAAACAGGAAGUGUGGCUGUCACAAUAAGAGAUGAACUAAAGGUUUUGUCAGUUCUUCCCUGCUCCACGUUUGUCGCUCUUUGUUUGGAAAAGACAGAAAAAUAAUUAACUCAACUGGUCAAAGUGUCCACGAUGUGCCUUAGUAAUCAGAUUACAGUUGGGUCGUUUUCUCUGAUGUGUAAAUGAAAAGUUAAAGGAUUCCUCACAUGAAGGAAGCUUUAUAUGAAGGGGUUUCUUAUUAUUGGUGUGCAUAAAGACGUUUGAUGAUUGUCAAUAAAGAACCCACAAAAAUUGUGUUUUGGAUGUUUUUAAAAUGUUCUUGUGGUAUUUUUCUGAUGAUGGUGGAGACAUUUAACCCUUGUGCUAUCCUAGGCACUUUAACGUUGGGAGUUGGGUCAUCUAGACCCACUAGACAGAGGUAGGGAGAACACGUCAAUGGAAGGGGGGUUCAUCUAAGAUAGUACAAGGGUUAAAAAUUGGGAGAUUCUGUCUAUCGUUUUGAACAUGUGACGUGGGGGACCACCAGGCUCCACCUACUUUUAUUGCAUGAAAUCAUGAAAAAAUAAGGAUUGUCAAGAACAUGUUGUAAAGAUGAAUCAGAUCAAAAAGGAUUGUUUUGACCACUAG